UACGUAGGGGCCUAGCGUUGUCCGGAUUUAUUGGGCGUAAAGAGCUCGUAGGCGGCACGGUUAGUCAGGUGUGAAAUCUCCACGCUCAACGUGGAGGGGUCACCUGAUACUGCCGAGCUUGAGUCCGGUAGGGGAGUGCGGAAUUCCCGGUGUAGCGGUGAAAUGCGCAGAUAUCAGGAGGAACACCGGUGGCGAAGGCGGAUCUCUGGGCCGAUACUGACGCUGAGGAGCGAAAGCGUGGGGAGCGAACAGG
rnacentral:rRNA from 1 species